GAUGAACGCUGGCGGCGUGCCUAAUACAUGCAAGUCGAGCGAACAGAUGAGGAGCUUGCUCCUCUGACGUUAGCGGCGGACGGGUGAGUAACACGUGGAUAACCUACCUAUAAGACUGGGAUAACUUCGGGAAACGGGCGCAAAUCCGGGAUAAUCUAUUGAACCGCAUGGUUCAUUGGUAAAAUACGGUUUUGCUGUAACUAAUAGAUGGUUCCGCGCCGAAUUAGCUGGUUGGUAAGGUAACGGCUUACCACGGCAACGAUGCGUAGCCGACCUGCGAGGGUGAUCGGCCACACUGGAACUGAAACACGGUCCAGACUCCUACGGGAGGCAGCAGUAGGGAAUCUUCCGCAAUGGGCGAAAGCCUGACGGAGCAACGCCGCGUGAGUGAUGGAGGUCUUCGGAUCGUAAAACUCUGUUAUUAGGGAAGAACAAAUGUGUAAGUAACUAUGCACGUCUUGACGGUACCUAAUCAGAAAGCCACGGCUAACUACGUG
rnacentral:rRNA from 1 species